GCCGAACGCUGGCGGCGUGCCUAAUACAUGCAAGUCGAACGAACCGCGACUGAGUGCUUGCACUUGGUCAAGGUGAGUGGCGAACGGGUGAGUAACACGUGGGUAACCUACCUCAUAGUGGGGGAUAACAGUCGGAAACGACUGCUAAUACCGCAUAGGACAUGGAAUCACAUGAUUCUGUGAGGAAAGGUGGCGCAAGCUAUCGCUAAGAGAUGGACCCGCGGUGCAUUAGCUAGUUGGUAGGGUAAGGGCCUACCAAGGCGAUGAUGCAUAACCGACCUGAGAGGGUGAUCGGCCACAUUGGGACUGAGACACGGCCCAAACUCCUACGGGAGGCAGCAGUAGGGAAUCUUCCGCAAUGGACGCAAGUCUGACGGAGCAACGCCGCGUGAGUGAAGAAGGUCUUCGGAUCGUAAAGCUCUGUUGUUAGAGAAGAACAGCGCAUAGAGUAACUGUUAUGCGUGUGACGGUAGCUAACCAGAAAGCCACGGCUAACUACGUG
rnacentral:rRNA from 1 species